UACGUAGGUGGCAAGCGUUGUCCGGAUUUACUGGGCGUAAAGAGUAUGUAGGCGGAUUUUUAAGUCAGAUGUGAAAUCCCCGGGCUUAACCUGGGAGCUGCAUUUGAAACUGGAAAUCUAGAGUGCGGGAGAGGAAAGUGGAAUUCCUAGUGUAGCGGUGAAAUGCGUAGAGAUUAGGAAGGACACCAGUGGCGAAGGCGACUUUCUGGACCGUAACUGACGCUGAGAUACGAAAGCGUGGGGAGCAAACAGG
rnacentral:rRNA from 1 species